AUCAUACUAGCAUGCCUUAAAUUUUACUUUAGAAUUAUUUUGUUUAUCCAUAAAAUCGAACAUUAGAUUUGUGUUCAUUUGAAUCCUCUUAACAACGUAUAAUUGAGAGGAUUAUUUGCAUCUUUUCCACUUAGUUAAAGUGAGAAAACACCAAGAUUAGCCAACUCACAUUUUGAGUGUCGAGCUUUCUGCUUACAGUUAAUUUCUGAGCAGGUACAAUAAAAUGAGACUCUCAAAGCCAACACUGAUUCUCUUUGUCUUUUUCAUCUUCACUGUAACGUGUGUUGUUCAAAUGGAAGCAGUGAUCAACGAACGAGUUGUUGAUGCUGGCUCUGGAAGUAGUUCUGUCAAUGUUGUUAGAAGAGGUGAAUGUGAAAAACAAGGCGUUGAGUGCAAGCAAGUAAAUGGUGGUAAUGAAGAUAACGAUUUGGAGAGUGAAGACUAUAUCUACACCAACUCAGUGUUACCCUAGAUGAAACACACUGCUUGCAUGUAUUAUGAAGUAAUUUAUUCCUUACUAUUUCAAUUCCUCUACUGAAUGAUGAUGUAUUUUAGUUGUGAUUUUGUUUGAAGCUAGUCAUAUUCAUAAUUGCAAAGGAAUGGAUAGAUGUUGUUAUGA